GAUGAACGCUGGCGGCGUGCCUAAUACAUGCAAGUCGAGCGAACAGACGAGGAGCUUGCUCCUCUGACGUUAGCGGCGGACGGGUGAGUAACACGUGGAUAACCUACCUAUAAGACUGGGAUAACUUCGGGAAACCGGAGCUAAUACCGGAUAAUAUAUUGAACCGCAUGGUUCAAUAGUGAAAGACGGUUUUGCUGUCACUUAUAGAUGGAUCCGCGCCGCAUUAGCUAGUUGGUAAGGUAACGGCUUACCAAGGCAACGAUGCGUAGCCGACCUGAGAGGGUGAUCGGCCACACUGGAACUGAGACACGGUCCAGACUCCUACGGGAGGCAGCAGUAGGGAAUCUUCCGCAAUGGGCGAAAGCCUGACGGAGCAACGCCGCGUGAGUGAUGAAGGUCUUCGGAUCGUAAAACUCUGUUAUUAGGGAAGAACAAAUGUGUAAGUAACUAUGCACGUCUUGACGGUACCUAAUCAGAAAGCCACGGCUAACUAGGUG
rnacentral:rRNA from 1 species